UCGCUAGUAAUCGCGGAUCAGCAUGCCGCGGUGAAUACGUUCCCGGGUCUUGUACACACCGCCCGUCACACCACGAGAGUUGGUAACACCCGAAGUCGGUGAGGUAACCUUUUGGAGCCAGCCGCCGAAGGUGGGACCAAUGAUUGGGGUGAAGUCGUAACAAGGUAGCCGUAUCGGAAGGUGCGGCUGGA
rnacentral:rRNA from 1 species